rnacentral:rRNA from 1 species
GACGAACGCUGGCGGCGUGCUUAACACAUGCAAGUCGAACGGACAGGCGCUGCUUUUGUGCGGUGCUCGAGUGGCGAACGCGUGUGUAACACGUGAGUAACCUGCCCUUGACAUUCGGAUAUCACCAGGAAACUGGGGCUAAUACCGGAUAGGAGCUCCUGCUGCGUGGUGGGGGUUGGGGAGUUUCGGCGGUUGGGGAUGGUGUCGCGGCUUAUCAGCUUGUUGGUGGGGUAGUGGCUUACCAAGGCUUUGACGGGUAGCCGGCCUGGGAGGGGGGCCGGCGACCUUGGGACUGGGGCACGGCCCAGACUCCUACGGGCGGCAGCAGUCGCGAACGUUGCACAACGAGCCGAUGCCUGAUGCAGCACCGCCCCGUGCGUGAUGCCCUCCUUCGGGUGGUAAACCACUUUCGCCUGUGACCAAGCGGGAGUGACGGUAAUGGGUAAAGAAGCACCGGCUAACUACGUG